ACACAAUGCCUUGCCAUUCGGUCAGUUUUAGGGUACACAACAAAGGGCCUUUCCUUUUUCUCAAACAAAAAGGGCUGUAGACCCAAGGUUUUCCCUCCAGGAGGAAGAAAAAGCUUAGGCUGAGCAGAGAGCAGGCGAGAUGUUUGUCAGAAGGAUCCAUAGUGUCAUAGAAAGGCACUGGGGUUGGCUCGAGGA